rnacentral:rRNA from 1 species
GAUGAACGCUAGCGGCAGGCUUAAUACAUGCAAGUCGAGGGGCAGCGCAGUGUAGCAAUACAUGGGCGGCGACCGGCAAACGGGUGCGGAACACGUACGCAACCUUCCUUUAAGUGGGGGAUAGCCCAGGGAAACUUGGAUUAAUACCCCGUAAUAUUAUGAAGUGGCAUCACUUUAUACUUAUAGCUCCGGCGCUUAAAGAUGGGCGUGCGACUGAUUAGGUAGUUGGCGGGGUAACGGCCCACCAAGCCUGCGAUCAGUAACUGGUGUGAGGGCACGACCAGUCACACGGGCCCUGAGACACGGGCCCGACUCCUACGGGAGGCAGCAGUACGGAAUAUUGGUCAAUGGACGCAAGUCUGAACCAGCCAUGCCGCGUGGAGGAUGAAGGUCCUCUGGAUUGUAAACUUCUUUUAUUUGGGAAGAAACCCACUGUUUCUACGGUGGUUGACGGUACCAGAUGAAUAAGCACCGGCUAACUCCGUGCCAGCAGCCGCGGUAA